rnacentral:misc_RNA from 1 species
AACGCACAUUGCGCCCGGCGGCAAUCCGCCGGGCAUGCCUGUCCGAGCGUCAUUUCAACCCUCGAACCCCCUGUGGGAUCGGCGUUGAGGAUCUGCAGCGGUCCCUCCCUCCCGGGGGAGCGAGCCUGCAGGCCUCCAAAUUCAUCGGCGGACCCACCGACGGCUCCUGCGCAGUGGCACUGUUUCUCGCAGGGGACCGGCGGCGGCGCCCGGCCGCUAAAGCCCCAACUAUUAUAGUUUUGGUUGACCUCGGAUCAGGUAGGGUUACCCGCUGAACUUAA